rnacentral:rRNA from 1 species
CACGGGGGGAGCAAGCGUUGUUCGGAAUCACUGGGCGUAAAGGGCGUGUAGGCGGUCAGGUAAGUGGGAUGUGAAAGCCCUCGGCUCACCCGAGGAUCUGCAUCUCAAACUGCCUGGCUUGAGUAUGGGAGAGGAUGAGGGAAUUCCAGGUGUAGCGGUGAAAUGCGUAGAUAUCUGGAGGAACACCGGUGGCGAAGGCGGCAUCCUGGACCGACACUGACGCUGAGGCGCGAAAGCUAGGGUAGCAAACGGG